AUGCUGGCUUCGGCAGCACAUGUGCCAAAGUUGGACCGAUAUAGAGAAGAUUAGCAUAGCCCUUGCGCAAGGACGACACACACAUUCGUGAAGCCUUUCAUGUUUUG
ensembl:snRNA U6 U6 spliceosomal RNA